rnacentral:lncRNA from 1 species
AUGCCUCAUGCAACGAGCGUAUUUCUGAGAUCGGCAUUCAUUACUUGUUUGCUUCUUCGUGUUGAUUUGAAAAACUCUAAAUGUCUAACUCUGGCAGGCUGUGCACAUAUGGUCAAAACAGUAGCCAUAGGAAGGAACAGAGUAGAGACUACGGGAGACCCCCCCUCACUACAGGUCCACAGUUUCCUGAUACAUGGUUCUAUCUGGAGGUUUUUCAUCUCUCCAAAUAGGCUGACAUUUCUUCAAUCCACAUCAUCUUGCCUUGGAGCCAGCAAUCUUUGCCUCUCGAUAUAUAUGUUUAUGGUCCACAGAUAUAGUGCACUGGAUUGGAUCCAUAGCAUUUAA